UGAUUCCGUAGGUGAACCUGCGGAAGGAUCAUUACCGAGUGCGGGCUGCCUCCGGGCGCCCAACCUCCCACCCGUGACUACCUAACACUGUUGCUUCGGCGGGGAGCCCCCUAGGGGCGAGCCGCCGGGGACCACUGAACUUCAUGCCUGAGAGUGAUGCAGUCUGAGCCUGAAUACAAAUCAGUCAAAACUUUCAACAAUGGAUCUCUUGGUUCCGGCAUCGAUGAAGAACGCAGCGAACUGCGAUAAGUAAUGUGAAUUGCAGAAUUCAGUGAAUCAUCGAGUCUUUGAACGCACAUUGCGCCCCCUGGCAUUCCGGGGGGCAUGCCUGUCCGAGCGUCAUUGCUGCCCUCAAGCCCGGCUUGUGUGUUGGGUCGUCGUCCCCCCCGGGGGACGGGCCCGAAAGGCAGCGGCGGCACCGUGUCCGGUCCUCGAGCGUAUGGGGCUUUGUCACCCGCUCGAUUAGGGCCGGCCGGGCGCCAGCCGGCGUCUCCAACCUUAUUUUUCUCAGGUUGACCUCGGAUCAGGUAGGGAUACCCGCUGAACUUAAGCAUAUCAAUAAGCGGAGGAA
rnacentral:rRNA from 1 species